CAAGUUUCCGUAGGGUGAACUGCGGAAGGAUCAUUACCGAGUGUAGGGUUCCUAGCGAGCCCAACCUCCCACCCGUGUUUACUGUACCUUAGUUGCUUCGGCGGGCCCGCCAUUCAUGGCCGCCGGGGGCUCUCAGCCCCGGGCCCGCGCCCGCCGGAGACACCACGAACUCUGUCUGAUCUAGUGAAGUCUGAGUUGAUUGUAUCGCAAUCAGUUAAAACUUUCAACAAUGGAUCUCUUGGUUCCGGCAUCGAUGAAGAACGCAGCGAAAUGCGAUAACUAGUGUGAAUUGCAGAAUUCCGUGAAUCAUCGAGUCUUUGAACGCACAUUGCGCCCCCUGGUAUUCCGGGGGGCAUGCCUGUCCGAGCGUCAUUGCUGCCCAUCAAGCACGGCUUGUGUGUUGGGUCGUCGUCCCCUCUCCGGGGGGGACGGGCCCCAAAGGCAGCGGCGGCACCGCGUCCGAUCCUCGAGCGUAUGGGGCUUUGUCACCCGCUCUGUAGGCCCGGCCGGCGCUUGCCGAACGCAAAUCAAUCUUUUUCCAGGUGACCUCGAUCAGUAGGAACC
rnacentral:rRNA from 1 species